ACUAUUCUUCAGUCAGCUCUCUAGAGCACGAAGGGGAGGGAAGAUCCCAGGACCUUCCAGGGCCAGUCCUCUGACGGCCUAAGGAGAAGCACACACGGUGAUCAAUGGAAUAGAUUUAGAAAACACUGGGUAUCUCUUCCACCCGUGGAAGCUGAACUGGGGCCUGAGGCCUCAAGAAAGGCAGGGCCUCCCAAACAAGAUGGACCAAGCAGGCUACACUGAUCCAUGCCUCAGAGGAGAGAGCAGGGAAGUCCUAGCAACAGUCUGAAGGACAACGUUGCCUCCAGUGUGCACACACCUCACCCUAGUCCUGUUUCCUCUGCUGCGGUGCCAAGGGUAUGGGACGCCAGGCAUUAUGCUCCCCUGAGGAGACUUGGUCUCUGGCAUAGGUCUGUUGCCAAGGGAGUUCAUGUACUGCCAUCCACACAAUAGGCAUUGGAGAAAAAACAAGAAAGGCUCUUGGAGUAUUGGCCAGCCAGCCAGCCAGCCAGCCAGCGCAGUCUUCAAGGGCCUCGGGGUGGCACAUAGGGUGGAGUGAGCACUUCCCAAUUCUCCCUCAGCCAGUGGCUGUCAGGCCUGUUGUAACAUCUGACUGGCACCGCCAGGGCUGGGAGCCCAGGUUAGGGCCAAAGAGAAGAGAUAUAGAUCAACUUGUGGUUUAGAAAUACAAACACAUUAUCCGUCUCUGCACCUUUCUCUUCGGGACUUGAAAAGCUUCCUGGGAACCAGGAGCUUGCUAACAAGCUCCCUUGCUCGCUAUAGUUUCCUAUCUGUGGAUGCCGCUUCUCCCCUAUCAGGAGGGAUCACACCUCCAGUUUCUGAACGCUUCCUGUGGGUGGAGCCCUGAGGUAUAAGCUCUUAGCUUACGCUGCCAGCCUCACUCUGCACAACAACCCUGGUGGAAGUUAUUAACAUAGUAUUAAUGUUACUCUACAGGUGAUUCAAACUGGGGCACAGGAUUGCUAAGAGAGGACCAAUUCCUGCUAUAAAGCAAAUGCAUGGGUCCUCCACACCCACGCACGUGCUUACCCAUCCCUAUGUUGAGAUCUAAUCACCAAUAUGAGAAGGUUAUUAGGAGACAAGGUGUCAGAGGUGAUUAGCACCUUAAGGCCCGUUGUAACUACCAUGAUAGUUAACUCCAGCCUGCCCUCAGGAGAGGCAGGAGGAUCUCUGUGAGUUCCAGGCCAGCCUGUCUACAGAGCGAGUUCUGGGGCAGCCAGGGCUACACAGAGAAACUGUCUCCAGAAACAAACAAGCACCCACCAAGGACAAAAUAUCUCUCCGGGUUAGCAGGGAAAUAUUCCUCAGAGAAACACUUGUGCCCCUCCCUUCGAGGUGUGCAGUCAAUCUAUGAGAUAGCGAACCGCAAAGAAUCGCGAUUUUCUGCUUGGAUUCCUUUCUAAGGAAGGGAUAACUGACGCUCCGGUGCCAGCCAGAACUUGCCUCCCAGGAAGGGACUUCACAGACUUCUGACAGCCUAUCCACCCACCUCGCAGGAUAUGGCUGAGACAAAGAUGGGCACCUAAUGGCAGAACCACACCUUGCCUAGGACUAGGGAGUUAUACAGACUUCCUGUCCUCUGUUUAAAGCUAACCUGAAGACGGACUUGCCAAGC